rnacentral:rRNA from 1 species
GCAGAGAGUGCGGGGUGGCCGAAGGGAAUUGGUAACACAGGUGCUGCAUGGCUGUCGUCAGCUCGUGUCGUGAGAUGUUGGGUUAAGUCCCGCAACGAGCGCAACCCUUAUCAUUAGUUGCUACGCAAGGGCACUCUAAUGAGACUGCCGGUGACAAACCGGAGGAAGGUGGGGAUGACGUCAAGUCCUCAUGGCCCUUAUGGGUAGGGCUUCACACGUCAUACAAUGGUCGGUACAGAGGGUUGCCAAGCCGCGAGGUGGAGCCAAUCCCAGAAAGCCGAUCGUAGUCCGGAUUGUUCUCUGCAACUCGAGAGCAUGAAGUCGGAAUCGCUAGUAAUCGCGGAUCAGCAUGUCGCGGUGAAUACGUUCCCGGGUCUU